GCCGGGCGUGGUGGCGCAUGCCUGUAAUCCCAGCUACUCGGGAGGCUGAGGCAGGAGAAUUGCUUGAACCCAGGAGGUGGAGGUUGCAGUGAGCCGAGAUCGCGCCACUGCACUCCAGCCUGGGCAACAAAAGCAAAACUCCGUCUCAA
rnacentral:SRP_RNA from 1 species